CCUACGGGAGGCAGCAGUGGGGGAUAUUGGACAAUGGGGGAAACCCUGAUCCAGCGACGCCGCGUGAGUGAAGAAGUAUUUCGGUAUGUAAAGCUCUGUCAGCAGGGAAGAAAGAAAUGACGGUACCUGACCAAGAAGCCCCGGCUAACUACGUGCCAGCAGCCGCGGUAAUACGUAGGGGGCAAGCGUUAUCCGGAAUUACUGGGUGUAAAGGGAGCGUAGACGGUGAUGCAAGUCUGGAGUGAAAGGCGGGGGCCCAACCCCCGGACUGCUCUGGAAACUGUGUAACUUGAGUGCAGGAGAGGUAAGCGGAAUUCCUAGUGUAGCGGUGAAAUGCGUAGAUAUUAGGAGGAACACCAGUGGCGAAGGCGGCUUACCGGCGCUCAACUGACGCUCAUGCACGAAAGUGUGGGUAUCGAACAGGAUUAGAUACCCGGUUAGUC
rnacentral:rRNA from 1 species